rnacentral:rRNA from 1 species
GGGCGCAAGCCUGAUGCAGCCAUGCCGCGUGUAUGAAGAAGGCCUUCGGGUUGUAAAGUACUUUCAGCAGUGAGGAAGGGGUGUAUGUUAAUAGCGUGCAUCUUUGACGUUAGCUGCAGAAGAAGCACCGGCUAACUCCGUGCCAGCAGCCGCGGUAAUACGGAGGGUGCGAGCGUUAAUCGGAAUUACUGGGCGUAAAGCGCAUGCAGGUGGUUUGUUAAGUCAGAUGUGAAAGCCCGGGGCUCAACCUCGGAAUUGCAUUUGAAACUGGCAGACUAGAGUACUGUAGAGGGGGGUAGAAUUUCAGGUGUAGCGGUGAAAUGCGUAGAGAUCUGAAGGAAUACCGGUGGCGAAGGCGGCCCCCUGGACAGAUACUGACACUCAGAUGCGAAAGCGUGGGGAGCAAACAGGAUUAGAUACCCUGGUAGUCCACGCCGUAAACGAUGUCUACUUGGAGGUUGUGGCCUUGAGCCGUGGCUUUCGGAGCUAACGCGUUAAGUAGACCGCCUGG